CAAUAGAUGACCUAUUUGAAAAUUUGCAAUUUUGAUCUAGCUUACUUCGACCAUAUUUUUCUAUUAAUAUACAAAGAUAAAUAAUGUCAUAUAAGAUAUCGUUAGAUUCGUCUCAUGAGUAUUUUCAAAAUAUCAAAUUUUCAUGAUUUUUUAUAACAUAUUAUUCAAGAUAUUUAAGCUCAAAAUUAUGCAUUGGAAUGCGUAAUGGAGUUAACUGUGUCAUGUAUUAAGGGACGGAGAGAGU
rnacentral:lncRNA from 1 species